UUUUACAAUGAAGAGUUUGAUCCUGGCUCAGGAUGAACGCUAGCGGCAGGCCUUAUACAUGCAAGUCGAACGGUAACAUUGGUGCUUGCACCAGAUGACGAGUGGCGCACGGGUGCGUAACGCGUAUGCAACCUACCUUUUACAAGAGUAUAGCCCAGAGAAAUUUGGAUUAAUCCUCUAUAAUAUCAUUAAAUCACAUGUUUUUUUGAUUAAAGUUUUAACGGUAAAAGAUGGGCAUGCGUCUUAUUAGUUUGUAGGUGGGGUAACGGCUCACCUAGACUACGAUAAGUAGGGGCCCUGAGAGGGGGAUCCCCCACACUGGUACUGAGACACGGACCAGACUCCUACGGGAGGCAGCAGUAAGGAAUAUUGGA
rnacentral:rRNA from 1 species